UAAAGUUUUUUGAAGUUUUCU
rnacentral:piRNA from 1 species